CCACUGCCUACUUUUGUGACACAGAGUUGUUCCUUGUGAGGCACCAUGAACAGAAAAUAAACCCAGAGAGAUCUGGGUUCCUGUGGAAGAAGACUUUCACCAGAGUACACAGCAAGAGUCCCUUUAAACUUCAAUCCUUGGCUGUUGUAGGUAUACUUCAGGACUUGUUGUCAAAAUACCAAUAAUCAAGAGAAGGUGUCACAAUCUUAGUAGUAGUAAUUAUCUUGAUCAUCAUAAAGAGAUAGAAAUGUUAUGCAGUGAGGUCAGAAAACAACAUGCUUGAUACUCAUGUCCUCCCUGAGAUAUCUCUUGGCAUUUUCUUACCCAAUUUUAUUGUUUAAUGCUCAUGUACAGUAGACUGAGGGAAGCAUGAAGACCUGGAGUUCAAACCCCCUUGGGAGUGAAUAACUUCUUGGUCAACUUACGAAUAAGACCCUAAGCCAGUGAAGAUCCUUGUUAAAAUUGACGGGAAUCUAGAACUGGUUUUUAAAAAAGAAAAAAAAAGAGAGAGAGAGAAGCAAAUUAUGUCUUCAAGACCAGCUACAGUGGUGAUGUUGAAGUUUUUUCCACUAAACUUCCUGUUGCAAUUUACCCCAAGAAAUAUGACCAGUGCAAAUCUUGAAUGAAGAGUUUCUAAAAUGUAUUACAUAAAGUAUGUGGAGCUGAAGAAAGCAAAAGGUUGGACUAUAAUGGAUGCUCUUUUGUGCCUCCAAGAUACACCCUUCAGUUCUGAGGCUUUCAUUUGUCCGCCCCCUGAGAGUAUUGCUGCCUGAUGUCUUUCUCCUGAGCCUUGAGACUUAUGAAUUGUCCUUGGGCAAAGGGAGCUGCCUUACCAGAAGAAACCUUCUUUCUCUAGGACACUCCUUAUCAAAUGGCUAUUGAUAUGAUAGUAUAAAUGCUUGUGCCCCUAUAUCAAAGCAGAAUUCUAAAGAACCAUUUUAGCAGAGCUGCCCAAGAGAUUGGCCAAGGCCUCCUUGAGACUGUUUCACAGUUCAAGUUCUUUUUCUCAAUCUUAAUUUUUUUUAUUUCUCAAUAGGUAUUAAUCCUGAGAACUCUCCUUAAUAAAAUUAUUAUGUGCAA
rnacentral:lncRNA from 10 species